UUCUUCGGAAUGAAAAUAAGUGGAUUAGUGGCGAACGGGUGAGUAACACGUGAGUAACCUGCCUUACACAAGGGGAUAGCCUUUGGAAACGAAGAAUAAUACCCUAUGACGUCAAUUUAUCGCAUGAUAGAAUGACCAAAGAUUUAUCGGUGUAAGAUGGACUUGCGUCUGAUUAGCUAGUUGGUGAGAUAAAAGCCCACCAAGGCGACGAUCAGUAGCCGGCUUGAGAGAGUGUACGGCCACAUUGGGACUGAGACACGGCCCAAACUCCUACGGGAGGCAGCAGUGGGGAAUUUUGCACAAUGGGGGAAACCCUGAUGCAGCGACGCCGCGUGAUUUAGAAGGCCUUCGGGUUGUAAAAAUCUUUUUUAUGGGAUGAAAAUGACAGUACCAUAAGAAUAAGGUCCGGCUAAAUACGUGCCAGCAGCCGCGGUAAUACGUAUGGACCGAGCGUUGUCCGGAAUCAUUGGGCGUAAAGGGUACGUAGGCGGCCUAGUAAGUUAGAAGUGAAAUAAUAUAGCUCAACUAUAUAAAGCUUUUAAAACUGUUAGGCUUGAGAGAUGAAAGGGAAAGUGGAAUUCCUAGUGUAGCGGUGAAAUGCGCAGAUAUUAGGAAGAAUACCGGUGGCGAAGGCGACU
rnacentral:rRNA from 1 species